rnacentral:tRNA from 1 species
UCCGGAGUAGCUCAGGGGUUAGAGCAACUGGCUGUUAACCAGUUUGUCGGCGGUUCGAAUCCGCCCUCCGGAG